rnacentral:misc_RNA from 1 species
AUAAAUAAAUAAGUAAAUAAAAAUGGCUAAUGAAUUUAAUAUUAACUUUACACUCACAACAAAUUCAAAUCCCACUAUAAAUGACAAAAGAAUACCAAACAUUUAUAAAAAUUUCCAAAUAUUAGCAUCAGGAGAACUGAAAGUCUUUAGUGAGACAUGCACACAUUAUAUACAUAACAAUAGAGAUGCCAAGCUUAUUGGCCCAUAUGGAUACUGUCGCACAUAGAAGUAGGUUUCAAAAUAAGUGAGAAUAGAUCAGGAAAUAUGGAUCAAAAGAAAAGAAAAAUUAAAUUACUAUAUUAAACUACUAUGCAAUUGGCCAAUUUUCUUCUUUUUGGGUUUUGCAAUAUGUUGGAAUCCAUUAGGAUUUGUAUUCUAUUUGUAAUUAUCUUCCUUUUUUGUUAGUGUCCUAGUGCAUCUUGGUUUUCUAGUGUAUCUAGAACUAUUGUGUAUAAUAGGGAGAAGUGUAUAAAGCUACACAACAGAAAUAUAGAGUUUCUCUUCUAAAAUAAUUUCAUCAUGGUAUCAAAGCUUUGCCAUUAAUUCUUGGCGUGAGUUUUCUGCAAACAGCAUUAAGGUUGCUAGGGCAAGCUUCUAGGCAUCAACCACUAAGAAGUUGUAUUACACCACCCCUACCAGAUGAAAGAGCAUCUGCCGAUCGGCCUGUGCCCGGAAAAUCAUCGUCGUCCGACAUAGCGUGUGGUCACACUCUGCCACAAGUUCUACCAUCGAUCCCAUGCGCUGGCGCAUGUUGCCGUUUCUAGGAGUUUUUUCUGGCCAUUUUCUUCUCCGACAAUCUCCCCAUGGUUUUGUGCCUCUGCCUAGCUAGUUUUCCACCUUGGUCUGCACUUUUGAUUAUUGGGUUUAUUUUUCCUCUCUACUGCUACUAUGGCCUUUUUUUUUUCUUUCUGCCUUUUCUUGGCUUGAUUCUUUAAUAUGGCUGAUGGAAAAAAAUAAUUAACUAAAACAAAGAUGAGCACUAUGAGUGAUAACCCUUCGUUACAAAGUAGCCUCGUAAAGCUUGAUGGUAGUAAUUAUCUUGCAUGGUUGAGAUCCUGUUCAUUGUUUAUUGAGGCUAAAGAGCUACAUGGAUAUAUCACUAGAGACAACCAAACCAAAAGCGAGUGGUUCUAUUUAUAGCUAAUGGGAAUCAGAGAAUUCCCUGUUGUCCAUUUGGAUUACGG